rnacentral:tRNA from 1 species
GGAGUUGUGCCUGAAACAAAGGGUCACUUUGAUAGAGUGAAUUAUGGGGGAUAAAGCCCCUCCGCCUCCU